AUCUCUCAACAUGAGAAGCUUUUAUUGUUUCUCAUGCUUUGGAUAUUGAAGGUUUUGCUGGCAUUUUAAUAGCUGUCAGCUCCUUUUAAAUACAUUAGCAGAACAGUAUAGGACUGGCUUCAGUUUGAUAAGAUAAUUUAUCUAUACUGUUGCUAGGACUUUUGUUAUGUUCAGCUUCAAAUGGUCUUUGGACUGUCUCUUAGAGGCAUAACAUGUUAUUU
rnacentral:misc_RNA from 1 species